rnacentral:tRNA from 1 species
CGCCGUGCGUGGUGCACAGGAGGCACAGCCGCCCUUCGGAGGCGGCCUGCUGCUCGACGCCGCGCGCGAUGU